rnacentral:rRNA from 1 species
UACGAAGGGGGCUAGCGUUGUUCGGAAUUACUGGGCGUAAAGGGUUUGUAGGCGGUUAUACAAGUCAGUGGUGAAAGCCCGGGGCUCAACCUCGGAAUUGCCAUUGAAACUGUAUAGCUAGAGAGUGUUAGAGGAAAGUGGAAUUCCUAGUGUAGGAGUGAAAUCUGUAGAGAUUAGGAGGAAUAUCAAUGGCGAAGGCAGCUUUCUGGGACAUUUCUGACGCUGAGAAACGAAAGCGUGGGUAGCAAACAGG